rnacentral:snRNA from 1 species
UUAUGUGAGGCAAACCAGGAUGAGAUAUCUGUUUAACUGCUCAUUGCCAGGGUUAAUUCGGCUGGUCUGGCUGGUUAAGUGGGUGCCCUCUUCCUCUUCACUGCUCCUGUGCUCUGCUUGGGCGACGAGGAUAACAUUCUUGGAAUGGACAAGGACCAGUCUUUAGUCAGAGACAGAUAAAAAGCUGUACUCUCCUGUUACAACCUCCAAACAAGUUCUCAAAUAAGAACAAUUACACUGAAGGCAGAACAACAAGUCUAAGGAAU